CGGGGUACCGCGGGCGCGGGCUUGUCUUGCCGGUGUCUCUUUAGCGACCGUCGCCGCCACCGCCGCUGUCCGCCCGCCGUCCGCGGCCUGCUGCGCUGGGGGCUCCUAGAGCGCAGCUGCGGCCAGGCCUUAGCUGCAAGAAUCCCGGAGUGCCGGGCAAGACCGGCCGUGGCCGGGGGUGGACCUGCUGCUGCUGCUUCAUCUUCAAGACCCGCAAGCGCUGCGGAGAGGGACCGACUGGCACGCAGUGACCGGGCGGGGCGGGGCUUACGCCGAGCUCCAGGCAUCUCGGGACUGGGGACCCGGGACACUCCGCCCCCAUCUGCCUGGACAACCUCCUACGAGGUGCUGGCUCCGGGCCCCCCACCGUGUCCCGGGGCCCGUGGACUGGACGCCCAGGACGGCUGGAGGCUGUGGGAGUUUUACCGGACGUUUUAGCCGUCUCAUACCAGAAAUUUUGGUACAAGUUUUGUUCCGUAUUGUGACCAGGGAAAACAGCCCAGGAACACUUGCGUCACUGGGGCCCGGAGGGGCGGGCUCCCUCAGACAGGACGCCUGGAUCACGAGCCUUCUAAGAACCAGGAGGAAGGAAGUCAUUCAUAAAGGACGCAGAUGCUCAACUGCGACUUUGGUUUCCUCUCGCAAUUCUGAUUACAGGAAUGUGGUUUGUUCUUAUUCCACAGAAGGGAAGACUUUCUCUGUAAAACUUGACUCUCAGAAGCUGCCUACCUUUCUGAGUCAGGACAGAACAGGGAGGCGGCUGAUUCAACCCCUGGGAUCUCCACACCAGUGAGAUCUCAGGUCUGACUGCAGCCCUCUUGAGAUCCAGUCUCAGAACAGACAUGGCUGCAGGUAUCUAUGGGACUUCAGAGAGCAGGAGAGACGCCCAGAAAUCAGAGUUGCCUGUGCUCAUGGGGACAGCUGCAUGAGGCC
ensembl:lncRNA